UGGGGAAUAUUGGACAAUGGGCGCAAGCCUGAUCCAGCCAUGCCGCGUGUGUGAAGAAGGCCUUAUGGUUGUAAAGCACUUUAAGCGAGGAGGAGGCUACUCUAGUUAAUACCUAGAGAUAGUGGACGUUACUCGCAGAAUAAGCACCGGCUAACUCUGUGCCAGCAGCCGCGGUAAUACAGAGGGUGCAAGCGUUAAUCGGAUUUACUGGGCGUAAAGCGCGCGUAGGCGGCUAAUUAAGUCAAAUGUGAAAUCCCCGAGCUUAACUUGGGAAUUGCAUUCGAUACUGGUUAGCUAGAGUGUGGGAGAGGAUGGUAGAAUUCCAGGUGUAGCGGUGAAAUGCGUAGAGAUCUGGAGGAAUACCGAUGGCGAAGGCAGCCAUCUGGCCUAACACUGACGCUGAGGUGCGAAAGCAUGGGGAGCAAACAGG
rnacentral:rRNA from 1 species